CCUUCAGUUGCCUCGUGAUCCGCCGAAUCUGUAAUGGACGAAUCACAGUCAACUGUUGGCA
rnacentral:pre_miRNA from 1 species